rnacentral:rRNA from 1 species
AGUGAAUGCUGGCGGUAGGCCUAACACAUGCAAGUCGAACGGCAGCACGGGAGAGCUUGCUCUCUGGGUGGCGAGUGGCGGACGGGUGAGGAAUACAUCGGAAUCUACUCUGUCGUGGGGGAUAACGUAGGGAAACUUACGCUAAUACCGCAUACGACCUACGGGUGAAAGCAGGGGACCUUCGGGCCUUGCGCGAUUGAAUGAGCCGAUGUCGGAUUAGCUAGUUGGCGGGGUAAAGGCCCACCAAGGCGACGAUCCGUAGCUGGUCUGAGAGGAUGAUCAGCCACACUGGAACUGAGACACGGUCCAGACUCCUACGGGAGGCAGCAGUGGGGAAUAUUGGACAAUGGGCGCAAGCCUGAUCCAGCCAUACCGCGUGGGUGAAGAAGGCCUUCGGGUUGUAAAGCCCUUUUGUUGGGAAAGAAAUCCAGCUGGCUAAUACCCGGUUGGGAUGACGGUACCCAAAGAAUAAGGACCGGCUAACUACGUGCCAGCCGCCGCGGUAA